ACGCACGCUGGCGGCAUGCCUAACCCCUGCAAGUCGAACGAGACCUUCGGGUCUAGUGGCGCACGGGUGCGUAACGCGUGGGAACCUGCCCUUAGGUUCGGAAUAACUCCCCGAAAGGGGUGCUAAUACCGGAUAAUGUCUUCGGACCAAAGAUUUAUCGCCUUUGGAUGGGCCCGCGUUGGAUUAGCUAGUUGGUAGGGUAAAAGCCUACCAAGGCGACGAUCCAUAGCUGGUCUGAGAGGAUGAUCAGCCACACUGGGACUGAGACACGGCCCAGACUCCUGCGGGAGGCAGCAGUGGGGAAUAUUGGACAAUGGGCGAAAGCCUGAUCCAGCAAUGCAGCGUGAGUGAUGAAGGCCUUAGGGUUGUAAAGCUCUUUUACCCGGGAUGAUAAUGACAGUACCGGGAGAAUAAGCUCCGGCUAACUCCGUG
rnacentral:rRNA from 1 species